rnacentral:rRNA from 1 species
AUUGAACGCUGGCGGCAUGCCUUACACAUGCAAGUCGAACGGCAGCACGGGUGCUUGCACCUGGUGGCGAGUGGCGAACGGGUGAGUAAUACAUCGGAACAUGUCCUGUAGGGGGGGAUAGCCCGGCGAAAGCCGGAUUAAUACCGCAUACGAUCUACGGAUGAAAGCGGGGGACCUUCGGGCCUCGCGCUGUAGGGUUGGCCGAUGGCUGAUUAGCUAGUUGGUGGGGUAAAGGCCUACCAAGGCGACGAUCAGUAGCUGGUCUGAGAGGACGACCAGCCACACUGGGACUGAGACAAGGCCCAGACUCCUACGGGAGGCAGCAGUGGGGAAUUUUGGACAAUGGGCGAAAGCCUGAUCCAGCAAUGCCGCGUGUGUGAAGAAGGCCUUCGGGUUGUAAAGCACUUUUGUCCGGAAAGAAAUCCUUGGCUCUAAUAAAGUCGGGGGAUGACGGUACCGGAAGAAUAAGCACCGGCUAACUACGUG